UAUAAUGAAUUCAUUUCAUCAUUCUUUUAAUUUGAUUUAAUAUUGGACAUGAUUUGGAAAAAAGAGAGGAUAAAAUAGUAUACAAAUAAUAAUUAUUAUAUUAUAAACAAAAAAUAGCAAGUAUUGAAAAAUUAGCACUUUAAGAGCAGACACGGUAUUUAGAACUAGAGUAGAGGAAAAACUUGUGGAAUAAUUUAUUUAGAAAAUCUUGAUAAGAUUCUUUGACAAGGAGGGUCUUCUUGUGAUAGAACAGGAUAAGGUCCCCCAUACCAUUUUUUUUCUUUAGUUGGUUGCUCAUAUUGCAAAAUAAUGGUCUCUUGAAGUAUCCUUGUUUUCAAUUAAAAAAGGUCGUUGAGAAAAGAAUGUUAAUUUUCAGAAGCCAAAUUCUUUUUGAAAAUUAAAGAUUGAUAAAAAUUUAAAAGAUUUUGAAAGGAAUCCUAUGUUGUUUUACAUAUGGAUGAUUCUAGAGACCUAAGAUUUACAUGUUUCUAGGGAGUCUCUCUUUCUCUCUCUCUGGUUUACGACAAUUCAUUCUGCACUUUUAGGAUAAUUUUUGUAGUUUUAAAAAAGGUUGCUAGCAGGAUCUUAUGUAGGAUUGAUGUGGGGUUUGUUCCCUUAAAUUUUAGAAAUUUACGCAAUAGGAGACCCUUCUGAGGGUGAGGACACUCCUAUUGGGGUGUUUAAAUUGUUUAUUCUUAGCUCACUUUUUUUCUGGGUUGUUGGGAGAAAUUGUAAAUCCUUAGAGGUGAGAGUUGAGUUUUUGGACAUAUUGAGAGAUUAGGGGCCCUAUUUGGCUCUUUUAUUAUUCCUUGGGCUGCUUUCCACAUUUGAAUGCCUUCUAUGUCAUAUAUUACUUAUAAAAAAAGAAAAAGAAAAAGAAAGCUGAAAAUAUUCUCUGCCUUUGAUAUGAAAUGACAUGUUUGACCAUACAUUAAUAUAAUGCUAAGAAAGUUUGCCCAUUGUGCACAAAUCAACGGAUAUUUCUUGAAAGCACUUGUUGUGCUCAAAUGGUUUUGCCAUAUUCUUCUAUUCUUUAGCGAUCAAAAUUUUGCAUAUAAUCUGCAACUGACAUUCUACCUUGUUUUAGAUUGAUAAGUUGAUCACAUAAUUUGUCAUUGUAAUUGGCCGGCAUUUUUAUCCUUCACAGCUCAGCAUUCAUAUCUUGCCCUAUACUGGUGAGCUGCUGAAACCGUUGUAUUCACUAAAUUAUCCUUCCUCCAUCUGCUCCUACUCCUCUAUCCACAUCUUGUACCAACCACUAUAUAGUCUUAGUUCUGUUUGUGGAGUAGCAUCUGCGGAACUCUUUUAAAGCAGCAGUUGAACCCCACGUCCCACUAUCAUUUCUGCCACUUGAGAAUACCCUCAACUGCCUACACUUUUCAAUAUCAAAGAAAGCCAAUCCCCUGUCGGAGCCUUCUUCCUCCACCUCUGCAGUACAUGGUUCCUUACCCACUCUUCGCUGCAUUAACCUGACUGGCUCAACUCCCUCCUCUUCUGAACCACAUGCAACUUUGCCAUAAUUCGGUGCCACACACCCUCUGAGGAUCUAGCCGACCAAAGCCUCCCACCAUGUUUCCUGUACCAAACUUCUCAAACAGACCAAGAGCAGAGGGUGUAGAAGAAGAGAAGUUCGUGGGUUUGAGUUUACAACCCAUUUUUUGUUUCUCAGCCCCUUGGAGUUUCCACUUAAGGGAACCAUGUCAUAUAAGUCUUGGCUUGUAUUGAUCCUUCACCUUCUCAACAGGAUUGGGCUGAGGUUUUCUUCUACUGUCAGGCCCAACCCGCUGGAACUCCCCAUAUUUCUUUUACUUUGGAAGAGUUAUAUUAGUCCCGGCCCAUUGCUCCUUACAGUUGAAGCCUCCCCUCUUAUUGAUACUUCUUUUGGGGUCAUUCUUCAUUACCUGCUGCUGUUGUUUCAUGUGCGCUUAGUUUAAGUCUCGAAAACCACUCUCUGUUUCAACAUAUGGGCCCAGUUAUAAAGGCCCAAACCUAUUAAAUGAGUCAUGAACUACUGGUUCAAUCUUUCUUCACACAUGAUACUAAUUGGAUUGUCCUACAAGACUUGGCCCAUAACAUUUGAGACUUUUGAUGCCCCAUUACAGCCUAUCCCACCUAAAUUUUAAAUGUGCUACCUCAACUCCUUAUCCUCUUUUGCACUGACACGUAAUCCCCUAGCUGUCAUCCACCCAUUAUAAUUGAUGGGAUCGGGAUCCUUCGCCACAUAUACAACUUUUUGUAACUCCCUUUCUACGCACCCUCUGCAUGUGAUGCCCAUUUCUUCCCCUUUCUUGCAUUUUGGCUGCCCUCUGCAACUCGAUUGGUUGAGUUUCCUUUCCCACCCUUCCCCUAUCUCUUCGUUUUACCUCACUCGCCAUCAUACGCAGUCAAUGUUCCUCCUUAAUCAACUUGCGUUCGUCCCUUCUGCCAAUAGAGCCCACAGUUGGUUUGGUUUGGAAAGCAUGCUACUUUCUUGAAUACUCUUUUGUUGCAAUAUCAUGAUUUAUGGAACUUCAAAUUGUUUUAGGGGAUCUUGAGAGCUAAAAUUUCGAAAGUACAUUUCUAGGAUAUCAUUGGCAUUGCUUGGACUUGGUGAACACUUGAGUCGGCAACACACAUCCUUCUCCACACAGCAGCAUCAAGAGCAACCCAUCACUUCUCAGUUUCAGCCGGGCUCAUCUUCACAUCCUCCUCAGGAUCCACUGUCUCAGUCAGACUCGCUCUCCCAGUACGCCAGUUCUGAAUCCAGCUUUAUGAGCGAGUUAACUCAGCUCCAGUCAGACUUUACUACAUUCAGCGCUUGGAUGGGACGGAGGGCUGAUGACCUAGAGAGGGGUGUGACAGAUAUGAGGAGGGACAUUACUCAGUUCCGUAUGGAGGUGCAGCUUACACUAACUAGAUUUCGUGAGGAAGUUACAGAUAUGCUUCAGCAACUUACAAAGAUGAUUCAGCCACCACCGGGCGGGACUCCAUGAUUUUGCAUUCUCUAUCUCUCUCUCAUUUACUCUGUUCUUAUGUGCUCCUUCGACAUUAUUUAACAUACUCUGUUAUUAUUUUGGGGAUGUACUUAUUAAUACAUGUGAUAUUGAUUUUUGGAUAUUUGUCUGGGAUACUUUUGGUUAUUUUUGAUAUUGUUAUAUGCAUG